UCAGCAGCCGCGGUAAUACGGAGGAUGCGAGCGUUAUCCGGAUUUAUUGGGUUUAAAGGGUGCGUAGGCGGGAUAAUAAGUCAGUGGUGAAAACCUGCAGCUUAACUGUAGAACUGCCAUUGAUACUGUUAUUCUUGAGUGUGGUCAAGGUAGGCGGAAUGUGUAAUGUAGCGGUGAAAUGCUUAGAUAUUACACAGAACACCGAUUGCGAAGGCAGCUUACUGGACCAUUACUGACGCUGAUGCACGAAAGCGUGGGGAGCGAACAGGAUUAGAUACCCUGGUAGUCCACGCCGUAAACGAUGAUCACUCGCUGUUAGCGAUACACAGUUAGCGGCUAAGCAAAAGCAUUAAGUGAUCCACCUGGGGAGUACGGCCGCAAGGCUGAAACUUAAAGGAAUUGGCGGGGGAU
rnacentral:rRNA from 1 species